CGGAUAUGUCUCCUGUUCCGUUAUCAAGGGAGGCACUCGGUCAUGCUGUGGGUUUGGCGCGCUGCCGCUGGACCUUAGACGCAAGUCGUCGAAGGUGUGAUGUGAGGGAAGGUUAGAUGCCUU
rfam:Paenibacillus sp. VKM B-2647 B-2647_026, whole genome shotgun sequence.